GCACUGGUGGUUCGGUGGUAGAAUUGUCACCUUCCAUGGGGAAAAUCUUGGUUUGAUUCCUAGCCAGUACA
rnacentral:tRNA from 1 species